rnacentral:misc_RNA from 1 species
GAUGAAGAACGUAGCGAAAUGCGAUAAGUAAUGUGAAUUGCAGAAUUCAGUGAAUCAUCGAAUCUUUGAACGCACACUGCGCCCGCCAGUAUUCUGGCGGGCAUGCCUGUUCGAGCGUCAUUUCAACCCUCAAGACCCCUUCGGGGGACUUGGUGUUGGGGACCGGCACAGGGGCCUGCCUGCUUGUCUUGCAGCGCCCUCGCCGCCCCCGAAAUGAAUUGGCGGCCUCGUCGCGGCCUCCCCUGCGUAGUAGCACAACCUCGCAACGGGAACGUGACGGCGGCCACUGCCGUAAAACAACCCCAAUUUUAUUAGAGUUGACCUCGAAUCAGGUAGGAAUACCCGCUGAACUUAAGCAUAUCAAUAAGCGGAGGA